AAUCCAUAGUGAGGGCGCAUUAUCAAUAAAUCAUUGUAUCUCUCCUAUGCAUCAUAUAGUGUUUCUAAAUCCAUUUGCACAAAAGAAGAGAUAUCAUUCUUCAAUUU
rnacentral:snoRNA from 1 species